rnacentral:tRNA from 2 species
GGCUCAAUGGUCUAGUGGUAUGAUUGUUGCUUCGGGUGUGACAGGCCCCGGGUUCAAAUCCCGGUUGAGCCC